CUUUAAUGGAGAGUUUGAUCCUGGCUCAGGACGAACGCUGGCGGCGUGCCUAAUACAUGCAAGUCGAGCGGGGU
rnacentral:rRNA from 1 species